AAGUUGAGUGGACUUGUCCCUUUCAUCUUUCAAAGUCUUCGGACACCACAAUUUUCUACUUUCAUUAGUUGAGCACGGUCAUCCAUCUUUCUCUUCUUCGUUCCCUUGUUUCCUUAAUCUAUUUUCCUCAAUUCAAGUUACUCAGCUAAGCUAUGGCAGCCAGAGAUAUCCUUCUUAAGAUGAAGGAAAAAGUUGGGUUGAGUUCUUCAGCCCCUGAUUCAGGGAAAGGAAAGAGCAAGUUGUCGAAGCACGUAACUCACGGUUUUCACCUGGUAAAGGGGAGAUCAUAUCAUGAGAUGGAGGACUUUGUUGUUGCUGAGUUUAAGCAAGUUGAAAGCAAUGAGUUGGGUUUGUUUGCAAUAUUUGACGGCCAUGCGGGUCACAAUGUACCUAACUACCUCCGGUCUCAUUUGUUUGAUAAUAUCUUAAAAGAGCCUGACUUCUGGAAAGAACCUGCAAAGGCUAUCAGGACAGCAUAUAGUAUAACUGAUUCUACUAUUUUAGAGAAAUCAGGUGAAUUGGGUAGAGGGGGUUCAACUGCAGUUACGGCAGUAUUGAUCAAUUGUCAGAAGUUAGUAGUAGCCAAUGUUGGCGAUUCUCGGGCUGUCUUGUGCAAGAAAGGCGUGGCAAAACAGCUAUCAGUGGAUCAUGAGCCAAGCACAGAACAUGAGGAUAUAAAAAAUAGAGGUGGUUUUGUAUCCAAAUUUCCAGGGGACGUUCCGCGGGUUGAUGGAAGGUUGGCGGUAUCAAGGGCAUUUGGGGACAAAAGCUUGAAGAAACACUUGAGUUCAGAUCCAGAUGUGACAACGGAGCUGAUAAAUGAUGAUGCAGAGUUUGUUAUAUUAGCCAGUGAUGGAUUAUGGAAGGUAAUGUCAAAUCAAGAAGCAGUUGAUUCUAUCAAAGACAUAAAGGAUGCUCGGUUAUCCGCAAAGCGUCUUACUGAAGAAGCAGUUAACAGGAAAAGCAAAGAUGAUAUCUCCUGCAUUGUUGUGAAGUUUCAAUGAUCACAAGACUCACAUUGCAGACUUUGAUCAAUAAAUUUGCAAGUGUAAAAUAUAAUUAAGUGUAACGAUAAAGCUUGAUAGCUAUCAGGUGGUGUCAUUAUGCUGAGUCCGACGUACGAAAUUACGAAGCAACUGAAAGGACUCACUAUUUGAAGUAACAAUGUGGAAAAGAUGUAUGUAGUUUCUGAGUGUAGAACAAUCUGAAGUCUCAAUUUGCAAUUUUAUUUUGUUUUCCAUUUUUCCGCAUACAUGAUAUGUAUGUUGGAAAUUUAUGUGUAUUUCAGAAAAUCAGCUCCCACAUUGCCUAUGGAGAAUUUAUUUUUAUUUAAAGCAGAAUUUUAUCA